rnacentral:rRNA from 1 species
AAUGAACGCUGGCGGCGUGGAUUAGGCAUGCAAGUCGAACGAGAAAGCGAAAUUUAUUUCGUGAGUAGAGUGGCGAACGGGUGAGUAACGCGUGGGAAACCUACCCUGAAGUGGGGGAUAACAUUCCUAACGGGAUGCUAAUACCGCAUAACAUUUUCUAACGCAUGUUGGAAAAUCAAAGGUGGCCUCUACUUGUAAGCUGACGCUUUGGGAUGGUCCCGCGUCCAAUUAGCUAGUUGGUAGGGUAACGGCCUACCAAGGCGACGAUUGGUAGCCGGCCUGAGAGGGUGACCGGCCACACUGGGACUGAGACACGGCCCAGACUCCUACGGGUGGCAG